CCUACGGGGGGCAGCAGUGAGGAAUAUUGGUCAAUGGACGAGAGUCUGAACCAGCCAAGUAGCGUGAGGGAUGACUGCCCUAUGGGUUGUAAACUUCUUUUAUAUGGGAAUAAAACGUUCCACGUGUGGGAUUUUGUAUGUACCAUAUGAAUAAGGAUCGGCUAACUCCGUGCCAGCAGCCGCGGUAAUACGGAGGAUCCGAGCGUUAUCCGGAUUUAUUGGGUUUAAAGGGAGCGUAGGUGGAUUGUUAAGUCAGUUGUGAAAGUUUGCGGCUCAACCGUAAAAUUGCAGUUGAAACUGGCAGUCUUGAGUACAGUAGAGGUGGGCGGAAUUCGUGGUGUAGCGGUGAAAUGCUUAGAUAUCACGAAGAACUCCGAUUGCGAAGGCAGUUCACUGGACUGCAACUGACACUGAGGCUCGAAAGUGUGGGUAUCAAACAGGAUUAGAUACCCGUGUAGUC
rnacentral:rRNA from 1 species